CAGGGGGCAAAUUGCAAACUGACUUCUUGGAGCUGGAGAGAAAGUAAAGGAGAGCAAAGAGCCCUGCUGCCAAACAGAGCAGCGGGCUGGAGCCCAGGGUCAGAACUCAAGGACAGGAGCCAUGCUGGACUGCUGUCACUGUGCCAGGCCACAGAACUCAGCUGGACCCCUGGUGAUGCAAUGGAGGACACAGGAGGGAAAGCCCACAACAAUUCAUAGCCCAGGGUGCACCUGGCAAGCCAGCCCAUGAGGAGAACAAGACUGACCAUGGAGAAGCUGGAAUGGUGGGAUGAAGAUGUGCUAAUUCAGGAUUGCUGACAGGAGCAGAUCUAUUUACAGGAACCUGAAUUAAAAGGGAGAGAAAUGGUUUACAACAGCCCGUGGCAGUGAUGGAGCAAGAGGCCUUAUGUAAGAGCUGGCGGCGUGCUCGGCUCGCGGAGGUGAGGCGCAGCAAUGAGUGAUCCUGGAAGGAUGUUUCUCUGAGGUGUGUUCUCUGCCUGGGCUGGGA